ACAGCGCACAAAGAACCAGAUGAUAGCCAACAAGAGCAUAUCAUGGAUGCCACCGAGGUUCUGGAUGCAACAGGAGAUACUCCGUCAACUUCAGAUUCUGCUGGCUCCACCAAGAAGGAUCCAGAAGUGGCAAGAAAAUCAGUUGCUGUUGACACAGUUGCAACUUCUAAGUGCAAAGAACCAAGUGCAGCUUGCAAGCAGCUGAC
rnacentral:lncRNA from 1 species